UACGUAGGGGCCUAGCGUUGUCCGGAAUUAUUGGGCGUAAAGAGCUCGUAGGCGGUUCGGCAAGUCGGAUGUGAAAUCUCCACGCUUAACGUGGAGGGGCCAUUCGAAACUGCUGUGACUCGAGUCCGGUAGGGGAGUGUGGAAUUCCCGGUGUAGCGGUGAAAUGCGCAGAUAUCAGGAGGAACACCAAUUGCGAAGGCAGCUCGCUGGGACGUUACUGACGCUGAGACGCGAAAGCGUGGGGAGCAAACAGG
rnacentral:rRNA from 1 species